rnacentral:rRNA from 1 species
CAGCCGCCGCGGUAAUACGAAGGGGGCUAGCGUUGUUCGGAAUCACUGGGCGUAAAGCGCACGUAGGCGGACUUUUAAGUCAGGGGUGAAAUCCCAAGGCUCAACCUUGGAACUGCCUUUGAUACUGGAAGUCUUGAGUUCGGGAGAGGUGAGUGGAACUGCGAGUGUAGAGGUGAAAUUCGUAGAUAUUCGCAAGAACACCAGUGGCGAAGGCGGCUCACUGGCCCGAUACUGACGCUGAGGUGCGAAAGCGUGGGGAGCAAACAGGAUUAGAUACCCCGGUAGUCCCUGUCUCUUAUAA